AAUAGAUACCCAGGUAGUCCACGCCGUAAACGAUGAGUGCUAAGUGUUAGAGGGUUUCCGCCCUUUAGUGCUGCAGCUAACGCAUUAAGCACUCCGCCUGGGGAGUACGGUCGCAAGACUGAAACUCAAAGGAAUUGACGGGGGCCCGCACAAGCGGUGGAGCAUGUGGUUUAAUUCGAAGCAACGCGAAGAACCUUACCAGGUCUUGACAUCCUCUGACAACUCUAGAGAUAGAGCGUUCCCCUUCGGGGGACAGGGUGACAGGUGGUGCAUGGUUGUCGUCAGCUCGUGUCGUGAGAUGUUGGGUUAAGUCCCGCAACGAGCGCAACCCUUGAUCUUAGUUGCCAGCAUUUAGUUGGGCACUCUAAGGUGACUGCCGGUGACAAACCGGAGGAAGGUGGGGAUGACGUCAAAUCAUCAUGCCCCUUAUGACCUGGGCUACACACGUGCUACAAUGGAUGGUACAAAGGGCUGCAAGACCGCGAGGUCAAGCCAAUCCCAUAAAACCAUUCUCAGUUCGGAUCGUAGG
rnacentral:rRNA from 1 species